GACGAACGCUGGCGGCGUGCUUAACACAUGCAAGUCGAGCGGUAAGGCCCUUUCGGGGUACGACGAGCGGCGAACGGGUAGGAGUAACAACGUGGGUGGACCUCGCCCUCCAGCUCUUGGGAGUAAAGCCUCGGGAAACCGGGGUACCGUAAUAACUGGAUAUGACUCCAUGACGCAUGUUGUGGGGUGGAAAGACCUUG
rnacentral:rRNA from 1 species